rnacentral:rRNA from 1 species
CAAUAGCGUAUAUUAAAGUUGUUGCGGUUAAAAAGCUCGUAGUUGGAUUUCUGCUGAGGACGAUCGGUCCGCCCACUGGGUGAGUAUCUGGCUCGGCCUUGGCAUCUUCUUGGAGAACGUUGCUGCACUUGACUGUGUGGUGCGGUAUCCAGGACUUUUACUUUGAGGAAAUUAGAGUGUUUCAAGCAGGCGCACGCCUUGAAUACAUUAGCAUGGAAUAAUAACAUAGGAUCUUUGUCCUAUUUUGUUGGUUUCUAGGGCUGAGAUAAUGAUUAAUAGGGAUAAUUGGGGGCAUCUGUAUCAACGCGUCAGAGGUGGAAUUCUUGGAUUGCGUUGCGACAAACUACUGCGAAAGCAUUUGCCAAGGAUGUUUUCAUUGA